AAAAAACAACUUCUAAAAGUAUAUGAAAAAAUAAAAAUAAAAGAAUAGGAGACAGUGAUGGCAAACUUGCGGCACACUUGCCCCAGCCUGCUGUUUUUUAUCAUUGAAAGAUUUCAAAGAUUCGCUGUUACUGCUAUAAGGUGUUUGGUGGCAACUCAGUUUUUAGUAUGGAACAGCUGAAUGAAGUGCCUAGUUGUCACAGCAGCCAUUCUUCGUAGUCAUUGAGAAAGGGUACUAUUCUUCAAGAAAGACGUCAGAAGAUCUGCCCAGCUCACAGUGGAAUUUGCACACUAGCUCUUUGGACAGCUAUAAGAAGAGUGCUGGCAUUUUAGAAUAUUGAUGAAUGUGGAGCUGGUUUCUGCACCCUGACUCAAGAAGAAGGAUGACUUGAUUUUAGGAGGAAUGAUGACUGCUAGAUAGCAUCCAAAGAUCUUCUUUGGGAGAAUAGGCUUGUUGCUUUACAGUGCUGGUGACCUAUUCCCUUUGACGAUCCCUAGGUGGAGAUGGGGCAUGAGGAUCCUCCAGGGGAAAAGCUCACUAUCAUUGGGCAGCAACCCUAGGUCCAGAGGUUUUAAUAAUUCCUGGACUCAAGAUAGAAAGAUGAAGACCAAAAGAUGACCAGCACACAACAAGAUAGGAGAACACAGACAACUGCCACAUCAAUUUGAUUUCAUGAGCAAAUCAUUCUGUUUUACCUGGUCUCCAGUUUCCCUUGAAGCCCUCCAUAUAGGAGAACUUUGCCAGUCAUUUAUGUACUUAAGAUGCGUUAUGAUGUCUACGGGAUGCAAACCAUAAUCAUCUGAGAAUAUAAAUGAGAAUUGUCUUUUUAUGUUAUGCUUGCUGAUUGAUGGAAGUCUUAUUACUACAGGUGGAAACGUAGCCAAACAUGGCACAAAGUUAUCAUCAGCUCCUGUUUGUUCCUUUCCUAUCUUUCAAGUCAUCCUUUACAAAAGCAAUGCAACUGUUGCAUCUACAGCAGGACCAAGAAAUGUCAGUGCACCAAAGGAAGCCACCUUUCCUGUCUGAAGAGACCAUGCUUAGCACUGUAACAUUUUAGAACAGCUGAAUGAAUCAUAAAGGUGUGUCUUUCUCUGUCUGUGCGCUCCUUGCAUGUCUUUGUGCUUCUCUACCGUGAGUGUGUCUUCUUCCCAUUUCUACGUCAGUCUUGCUCAUUUCCUUUGUGUGCCUUUUCCUCAUUUUCUCUACACUUGUUCUUAAGUGUAGUCUGUGCCUUGCUUACAUGUAUCUCUCUUUUUCUCUCAUUUUGUUUCUCUUUGCUUUCCUGAAUCUGGCUUUUCUUUGCCUUAUUCCUCUAUGUGUCCUCUUUGGUCACAUGUUAUGUGUUUUUCUUGUACUUUUCUUACUGUGCCUACCUUGCUUUUUCUCUUUGUACUUUGCUUUAUCUCUUUUUGUGAAUUGUGAUUGUCACCCUUUACUCUUUUUUUGUUUGAUAUUUCAGCCUUUUCUGAUUCUGACCUCUUUUCUGCCAUUUCUA